AGGACAACUCUCAACAACGGAUAUCUUGGCUCCCGUAACGAUGAAGAACGCAGCGAAAUGCGAUACGUAGUGUGAAUUGCAGAAUUCCGUGAAUCAUCGAGUCUUUGAACGCAAAUCGCGCUCGAGGCUUCGGCCGAGAGCAUGUCUGCCUCAGCGUC
rnacentral:rRNA from 1 species